rnacentral:misc_RNA from 1 species
CCGAAUUGUCGACACGAGUUGUUGCUGGCCCUUGAACGGGGGCAUGUGCACGCUCUGUUUGCAUCCACUCACACCUGUGCACCUUCUGUAGUUCUGCUGUCUGGGAGACACCCGUCUCCCUCCCUGUGGUUCUACGUCUUUACACACACACUGUAACAUGGUCUUAUGGAAUGUAUGCGGCGUUUAACGCAAUACAAUA